rnacentral:rRNA from 1 species
GAGUUUGAUCGUGGCUCAGAUUGAACGCUGGCGGCAGGCCUAACACAUGCAAGUCGAGCGGUAGAGAGAAGCUUGCUUCUCUUGAGAGCGGAGGACGGGUGAGUAAUGCCUAGGAAUCUGCCUGGUAGUGGGGGAUAACGCUCGGAAACGGACGCUAAUACCGCAUACGUCCUACGGGAGAAAGCAGGGGACCUUCGGGCCUUGCGCUAUCAGAUGAGCCUAGGUCGGAUUAGCUAGUUGGUGAGGUAAUGGCUCACCAAGGCGACGAUCCGUAACUGGUCUGAGAGGAUGAUCAGUCACACUGGAACUGAGACACGGUCCAGACUCCUACGGGAGGCAGCAGUGGGGAAUAUUGGACAAUGGGCGAAAGCCUGAUCCAGCCAUGCCGCGUGUGUGAAGAAGGUCUUCGGAUUGUAAAGCACUUUAAGUUGGGAGGAAGGGCAGUAAAUUAAUACUUUGCUGUUUUGACGUUACCGACAGAAUAAGCACCGGCUAACUCUGUGCCAGCCGCCG